rnacentral:rRNA from 1 species
AGAGUUUGAUCCUGGCUCAGAAUCAACGCUGGCGGCGCGCCUAACACAUGCAAGUCGAACGAGAAAGCCCGCAAGGGUGAGUACAGUGGCGUACGGGUGAGUAACACGUGGAUAAUCUACCCUCUAGUGGGGAAUACCGUUGGGAAACCGACGACAAUACCGCAUAAUCUCGAGAGAGGAAAGCAGCAAUGCGCUGGAGGAGGAGUCCGCGGCUGAUUAGCUAGUUGGUGAGGUAAUGGCUCACCAAGGCUCAGAUCAGUAGCCGGCCUGAGAGGGCACACGGCCACACUGGCACUGAAACACGGGCCAGACUCCUACGGGAGGCAGCAGUGGGGAAUCUUGCACAAUGGGGGAAACCCUGAUGCAGCGACGCCGCGUGAGCGAUGAAGCCCUUCGGGGUGUAAAGCUCUUUCGGCAGGGAAGA